GCCCGUGUAGCACAAUUGGCAGAUGCACCCGCCUCAAGAGCGGAAAAGUGACGGUUCGAAUCCAUCCACGGGCACCA
rnacentral:tRNA from 1 species